rnacentral:rRNA from 1 species
UCCCCUACGGGAGGCAGCAGUGGGGAAUAUUGCACAAUGGGGGGAACCCUGAUGCAGCGACGCCGCGUGGGUGAAGAAGUCAUUCGUGACGUAAAGCCCUAUCAGCAGGGAAGAAAAUGACGGUACCUGACUAAGAAGCCCCGGCUAACUACGUGCCAGCAGCCGCGGUAAUACGUAGGUGGCGAGCGUUGUCCGGAAUUACUGGGUGUAAAGGGAGCGUAGGCGGGAGAGCAAGUCGACUGUGAAAUCUAUGGGCUUAACCCAUAGCUGCGAUCGAAACUGUUCAUCUUGAGUGAAGUAGAGGC